GACGUAGGGCGCGAGCGUUUGUCCGGAUUUAUUGGGCGUAAAGAGCUCGUAGGCGGCUUGUCGCGUCGAAUGUGAAAACUCGGGGCUCAACUCCGAGCUUGCAUUCGAUACGGGCAGGCUAGAGUUCGGUAGGGGGAGACUGGAAUUCCUGGUGUAGCGGUGAAAUGCGCAGAUAUCAGGAGGAACACCGGUGGCGAAGGCGGGUCUCUGGGCCGAUACUGACGCUGAGGAGCGAAAGCGUGGGGAGCGAACAGG
rnacentral:rRNA from 1 species